rnacentral:rRNA from 1 species
AAAAAAAGCUUCUGGCAAUGCAUAUGCGGCCCGUACCAAAACCGACACAGGUGGGCAGGGAGAGAAUCCCGAGGUGAGCGAGAGAACUGUUGCCAAGGAACUCGGCAAAAUGACUCCGUAAGUUAGCGAGAAGGAGUGCUUAAGCAAUUAAGCCGCAGUGAAGAGGCCCAAGCGACUGUUUAACUAAAACACAGCUCUCUGCGAAGUCGCAAGACGAAGUAUAGGGGGUGACACCUGCCCGGUGCUGGAAGGUUAAGAGGAUCUGUUAAGAGCGAUCUGAAGCAGUGAUCCGAAGCCCCAGUGAACGGCGGCCGUAACGAUAACGGUCCUAAGGUAGCGAAAUUCCUUGUCAGGUAAGAUCUGACCCGCACGAAAGGUGUAACGAUUUGGGCGCUGUCUCGGCAGCAGACUCGGUGAAAUCUUAGUACCUGUGAAAAUGCAGGUUACCCGCAACUAGACGGAAAGACCCCAUGGAGCUUUACUGCAGCCUGAUAUUGAAUUCUGGUCAUACAUGUACAGGAUAGGUGGGAGACAAAGAGACGUGCACGCCAGUGUACGAGGAGUCGACGUUGGGAUACCACUCUUGUGUGACUGGGGUUCUAACCUGGUAUCGAGAACAGGUACGGGGAGAGUGUCAGGUGGGCAGUUUGACUGGGGCGGUCGCCUCCCAAAGAGUAACGGAGGCGCCCAAAGGUACGCUCAGAUUGGAUGGAAACCAAUCGUCGAGUGCAAUUGCAGAAGCGUGCUUGACUGUGAGACAGACAAGUCGAACAGGGACGAAAGUCGGGAAUAGUGAUCCGGCGGUGCCGAAUGGAAGGGCCGUCGCUCAACGGAUAAAAGCUACCCUGGGGAUAACAGGCUGAUCUCGCCCAAGAGUUCACAUCGACGGCGAGGUUUGGCACCUCGAUGUCGGCUCAUCGCAUCCUGGAGCUGGAUUCGGUUCCAAGGGUUGGGCUGUCCGCCCAUUAAAGCGGUACGCGAGCUGGGUUCAGAACGUCGUGAGACAGUUCGGUCCCUAUCUGUUGUGGGCGAAGGAGAUCUGCGGAGAGCUGUCCUCAGUACGAGAGGACCGGGAUGGACCUACCGCUGGUGCACCGGUUGUUCCGCCAGGGGCAUAGCCGGGUAGCUAAGUAGGGAAGGGAUAAGCGCUGAAAGCAUCUAAGCACGAAGCCUACUCCAAGAUGAGAUCUCCCAUUCGCAAGAAGUAAGACCCCUUAAAGACGAUAAGGUAGAUAGGCCAGGGAUGGAAGUGCAGUGAUGUACGGAGUUGACUGGUACUAAUCGGUCGAGGACUUAAUCU